rnacentral:rRNA from 7 species
AGACCCGAAACCCGGUGAUCUAGCCAUGGGCAGGUUGAAGGUUGGGUAACACUAACUGGAGGACCGAACCGACUAAUGUUGAAAAAUUAGCGGAUGACCUGUGGCUGGGGGUGAAAGGCCAAUCAAACCGGGAGAUAGCUGGUUCUCCCCGAAAGCUAUUUAGGUAGCGCCUCGUGAAUUCAUCUCCGGGGGUAGAGCACUGUUUCGGCUAGGGGGCCAUCCCGGCUUACCAACCCGAUGCAAACUGCGAAUACCGGAGAAUGUUAUCACGGGAGACACACGGCGGGUGCUAACGUCCGUCGUGAAGAGGGAAACAACCCAGACCGCCAGCUAAGGUCCCAAAGUCAUGGUUAAGUGGGAAACGAUGUGGGAAGGCCCAGACAGCCAGGAUGUUGGCUUAGAAGCAGCCAUCAUUUAAAGAAAGCGUAAUAGCUCACUGGUCGAGUCGGCCUGCGCGGAAGAUGUAACGGGGCUAAACCAUGCACCGAAGCUGCGGCAGCGACA